UGAGCUCGCCAGACAGCCGCCGCCGGCCCAGCCGGGGGAGGAAAGUCCGGGCUCCGCAGGGCAAGGUGCCAGGUAACGCCUGGGCGGCGUGAGCCGACGGAAAGUGCAACAGAAAGCAGACCGCCUAAGCGCCUUCGGGCGCCGGUAAGGGUGAAACGGUGCGGUAAGAGCGCACCGCGUGGCUGGCAACAGUCCACGGCGAUGGUAAACCCCACCUGGAGCAAGACCAAAUAGGAGUCCUAUGGCGUGGCCCGCGCUGGACUCGGGUAGGUUGCUUGAGGCCUGUGGUGACGCAGGCCCUAGAUGAAUGGCUGUCCUCGACAGAACCCGGCUUAUCGGCGAGCUCACUCU
rnacentral:RNase_P_RNA from 1 species